CACCGCGGUUAUACGAGUAACCCAAAUUAAUAUUUCACGGCGUAAAGAGUGAUUUAAGGAAGAACUACAAUAACUAAAGUUAAGACCUCAUCCAACCGUCAUACGUUUCCAUGAAUAGAAAAAUCAACAACGAAAGUGACUUUAUUUAAUCAGCUAUCUUGAUGUCACGACAGUUAGAUCC
rnacentral:rRNA from 1 species